rnacentral:rRNA from 1 species
AAACCAGCACCUCAAGUGGUCAGGAUGAUUAUUGGGCCUAAAGCAUCCGUAGCCUGCUUUGUCAGUUUUCGGUUAAAUCCAUACGCUCAACGUAUGGGCUGCCGGAAAUACUACAAAGCUAGGGAGUGGGAGAGGUAGACGGUACUCGGGAGGAAGGGGUAAAAUCCUUUGAUCUCUCGAUGACCACCUGUGGCGAAGGCGGUCUACCAGAACACGUCCGACGGUGAGGGAUGAAAGCUGGGGGAGCAAACCGGAUUAGAUACCCGAGUAGUCC